CCCUCCUGGGCUUUAGUCCCAGCUCCUGGAAAGGUUUGCUCUUGCCGCUGAGGCAAGUGACUUCCUCGCGGUGGGGGGGGGGGGGGGGGGGGGCAGGGAUGGGCUCAAAGGGAAAGGGCCACUUCUAAAGGCUCAGCUGCCGCAUGGAUGGGGAAGUGUCAAGGCUGGUCGAAGCCUCUGUGAGAAGAAGACCAGAGAAACAAGAAAAAAGAAAAAGGCACCGACGCUGAAUUUCUACUGAAAUUACUUUGAAGCAAAUUUUAAAAUUCUUUAGUAAAGAUGUAGAAAUGUUUCCACUGGGGAUCGAACCGGGGACCUUUCUCUUAUGAGGAGAACUUGAUAACCGCAGCACUAGGGAAACAGCUGGAAGGAGGAAAAUACAGAAUUAAAAAAAUCCAAUGACCCCCUUCGCAACACGCACAAACACAUUAUUAAAACAAUCCAAGAGAGAAACUGCUCUCAAACCCACCUUGAAGCCCAACAAUGUUUCAUUAGUUCAUCUCAUAGAUAGAUUUUAAACUCUUGCCUGUCUACAAAUGUUUACGUUGUUGCUUCAGCCCAAACCACUUUCUACAAGAACUUUCUGUAAGACCGCUGAAGGACGCCAGGUGCAGCAAAUUGCGAAGGGAAAAAAACCCCACCAAAACAAGCCGGACAUGGAAAGAAGAUAAUUUAAAUGACUUCUCAUCUUAACCCAGAUUUAACUCAUUUUGGACCAAUCUUUUUUCUUUUCUUUUCUUUUUUUUAAGAGAGAUAGUAGAAGGAAGGGAGGUAAUGGUAAGGAGUUAGGAUCAGAUUGCGGUAAAAUCUGUUUUGUUUGUCUUUUCCCCUUACAGGACCAGGAUUAGAAGGAGAGUGAGGCAAUGACCUCAAGUGCAAAAAUUAAGGUGGCUCUAAAAAACUCAAUAAUCAAGAUAAAUAAUAUUUUAAUGCAUUAUUCUAAAAUAUCAAAUUAAUGGCAAAAAGCAAACCCAUGGUGAACAAAAUAUCAAAAUCUUAAAGCAAGACAGGUUCUGACAGUGUCUUACCAAGCCAUAUUGGAGUCUGAGGCAAGAGCAAAAACGUGUGCCCCUCUAGAUCUGUUUUUUUUGUUUUGUUUUUUAAAUUUAUUUACUUGGCUGCAUCCGGUCUUAGUUGCGUUGCACUGCGCUUAGUUGCCCUGCAGCAACUAAGAUCUGCCUUUUAAUAGAGACCAUGAUUGAGGCGUAAUUCCCCAAAGGAGAAAAUGUCUGUGACACUUUUAUGGAGAAGUUCUGAUACAAUAAUGAAACUCUUCUACAGUUAGAUGUGAAAUAACAAUGGUAAACAUUUUGAAGGAAACUUUAAAAGUCCACGACUAUUUAAAGAAAGUAGGAUCUUUUUGCGGGGAGGUGUCUGACCACAGAGCAGGAAUCAUUGUGGAAGGACAGACGUACAGACACAGGACAGGCCCCGCCCCACAGAAGGCAGCAUCUUAAUUCCCUAACCAGGUAUGGAACCCGUGUUCCCUCUAUCGGCAGGUGGAUUCUUUUUUUUUUUUUUUUUUUUUGUGGUAUGUGGGCCUCCCUCUGUCGAGGCCUCUCCCGUUGCGGAGCACAGGCUCCGGACGCGCAGGCUCAGCGGCCAUGGCUCACGGGCCCAGCCGCUCCGCGGCAUGUGGGAUCCUCCCGGACCGGGGCGCGAACCCGGUUCCCCUGCAUCGGCAGGCGGAAGCGCAACCACUGCGCCACCAGGGCAGCCCUAGCAGGUGGAUUCUUAACCAUUGCAUCACCAGGGAAGGCCGGAAGGUGGGGGUCUUAACCACUGGGCCACAAGGGAAGUCCCAUAUGUCUGUCUUUACGCAUUUUUAAUGGUUAUUUUCCCCCAGGACAUCGUUGAAAAUAUUGAAACUUAAAAAUAGGUAUAUUAGAAUUCACAACAUUAAGAACGUAUAAUUUUACUUUUCUAUUUUUUUAUAAUUUUACUUUUCUGUGCUUAAUGGAAGCAAACAUAUCGAUAACAUUCUCAACAUAUGCUUUUGCGGGGAGGAAUUAACUACUAAAAAUAACGUAAAACAUACCAAGAAGCACACGGUUUUCCUUUUGCCUCAGAUCCCAAUAUGGCUCAGCAGGGCACUGUGACACAGUAAUAUAUCUUGAAGAUCUUCUGUUUUAGUUUUCUACUGCUGCUGCGACAAAUUACCAUAAACAUUGGUUGAAAACAACACAAAUUUAUCAUCUGACAGUUCUGGAAGUCAGAAGUCCAGAAAGUGGCCCAAAGGGGCUAAAAUCAAGGUGUCCACAGGGCUGCAUUCCUUCUGGAGGCGCUGUUCCUUGAGAAUCCAGGAGAAUCCAUUGCUCGCCUUUUCCAGCUUCUAGAGGCUGCCCACACUUCUGGGUUCAUGGUCCCACAUCACUCCAACUUCUGGUUCUGUUGUCACAUUUCCUUCUUUGAUUUUGACUCUCUUGCCUCCUUCUUACAAAGGCCCCUUUGUUACAUCAGACCCACCCAGAUAAUGCAAAAUAAUCUCCCCAUCUCAAGAUCUUUAACUUAAUCCCACCUGCAAAGUCCCUUGUGUUAUAGAAGGGAGCAUCUUCACAGGUUCUGGGGAGUAGGAUGUGGACAUUGUGGGGGGCAUUAUUCUAGCGACCACACCUCCCCCCCGUCAUUAAACAUUCUUCUGUGACAUCCUUUUUGACGGCUGCAUAGUAUUCCAUCCAUCCAUUCAUUCAUUCAUUCAACAAGUAUUUACUGACACGUACUAUGUCAACCGGGGAAAGUCGAGUGGGUAAGGCAGAAGUCAAGCUGACAUGGAGCUGGUGAUGAGUGGGCUGAUCUGAUGGAUUUUUUUUUUUUUUUUGGCUGCGCCGCGGGGCAUGCGGGAUCUUAGUUCCCUGACCAGGGAUCAAACCCCGUCCCCUGCAGUGAAACUGCAGAGUCCUAACCACUGGACUGCCAGGGAAUUCCUUCUUUUUUUUUUUUUCCUGAGGGAUAUCUGGAACCUAAUGUUGACCAGACUUACCAAUUCACCCCUACUAAGAGGGCUGUAAUCAAGAAAAACAAUAACAGGGAAUUCCGUGGCGGUCCACUGGUUAGGACUCCGAGCUUUCACUGCGAGGGCACGGGUUCAAUUCCCUGGCCAGAAAUACAUACAUACAUACAUAUGUAUAUACAGGAAAAAGAAAAACAAUAACAAGUGUUGCUGAGGAUGUGGACAAACUGGACCCCUUGGACUUUGCUGGUGGGAGUGAAAAAUGGGGCAGCUGCUGUGGGAAAUGGUCUGGCAGUUCCUCAAAAGGUUAAACAAUUAUCAUCUGAGCCAGCAAUCCCACUCCUAGGUAUCUACCCAUGAGAAGUGAAAACACAUCCAUGUAAAACCCUGUAUACACAUGUUCACAGCAGCAUGAUUCACAAUAGCCAAAACGUGGAAACAACCCAAGGGUCCAUCAAUGGAUGAAUGGAUACCCAAAAUGUGGUCCGUCACACAGUGGAACAUUAUUCCGCCAUAAAAAGGGGAAAUAAAUGUAUUGGUGACGUCAUGUUAAGUUCAGCAUCUGAUCCAACCGCCCCCUCCUCCUGGGAAAUGCUCAGGGACCCUCCUCUCCUCAAUGGCCCCAUUGGUUUCCUUCUCUCUCCCUCGUUGGCCCAGGGCUGGGUCCUCAGGUCUUUCCCCUCCCCUCUGGCAGCCUUCUCCUCCUCCACUCCUAGGACAUUAACCCCUUCUAUACCCCGAUGACACCGAGGCCUCCCCUGAGCUCCAGACUCGGGAUCCGACUGCCCCUGGAUGUCUGCGCUUGGAGGGCUCAUGGGGGACUCACACUUGCCAUGGCCCUAACUCAGCUCCUAUCUUCCCCAGCCUGCUUGCUGAGGACUUAAUGUUUGUGUCCCCCUAAAGUUCAUAUGUUAAACCUAACCCCCUACGUGAUGUCUGAGGAGGUGGGGCCUUUGGGAGGUGAUUUGCUCAUGAGGGUGGAGUUCUCAUGAAUGGGAUUAGUGCCCUUAUAAAAGAGACCCCAGGGAGCUCCCUCACCCCUUCCUCCAAUGAGGACACAGCAAGAAGACAUCAUGUGUGAACCAGGAAGAACACCCUCACCAGACACUGAAUCUGCCGUCACCUUGAUCUUGGACUUCCAGCAAUCCAGAAUUGUGAGAAAUAAAUGUCUCCUGUGUAUAAGCCACCCAGCCUAUGGUGGUUUGUAACAGUAGCCCAGACGAACUAUGAAACUGCUUCUCCCUCCAUCUCCUGCCC